rnacentral:rRNA from 1 species
GGGGGCAACCCUGAUCCAGCCAUUCCGCGUGAGUGAAGAAGGCCUUCGGGUUGUAAAGCUCUUUCGCAAGGGAAGAAAACUUAUGAUCGAAUAAAUCAUGAGGUUGACGGUACCUUGAUAAGAAGCACCGGCUAACUACGUGCCAGCAGCCGCGGUAAUACGUAGGGUGCGAGCGUUAAUCGGAAUUACUGGGCGUAAAGCGUGCGCAGGCGGUUUUGUAAGUCGGAUGUGAAAUCCCCGGGCUCAACCUGGGAACUGCGUUCGAAACUGCAAGGCUAGAGUGUGUCAGAGGGGGGUAGAAUUCCACGUGUAGCAGUGAAAUGCGUAGAGAUGUGGAGGAAUACCAAUGGCGAAGGCAGCCCCCUGGGAUAACACUGACGCUCAUGCACGAAAGCGUGGGGAGCAAACAGGAUUAGAUACCCUGGUAGUCCACGCCCUAAACGAUGUCAACUAGUUGUUGGUAGAGUAAAAUCUAUGAGUAACG